CCUGCAGGGGCAGGCUAUACUCACCAGAACAACUACAUUAAGCAGUAGAUGUUCCAGUGACUAUAUUGUCCCUUUAAUUUGUAAUUUGAAAAUCUGCCAAAAUUGUAUAUUACAUCCUUCAGUUCAUUUAAUAAUGGCCUAGGCUAGGGUGUUUCAAAGUGAUUUUGAUGUCAUCUGCAUGCAAGUAAAUCUAUAAUUGGCC